rnacentral:tRNA from 1 species
GGAUUUUAGGUCUUUGCUUGACUGUCAGUCAAGAGGUCGUGGGUUCGAGUCCCAUCUUCUCCA